CGUGUCAAUUUUUUUUCCCGCAUCAAUUUUUUUAUUUCUUUCCAAAUCAAUUUUUUCCCCACCCUAAUUUCUCCUUCGUCAACUUUUUGUUUCGCUUACGCCUUCGUAGUGACGCACCUGCCGAAGAGUCCUCCUUCCUCCUUCGUCGAAGAGUCUUCCUUCCUCCUUCGUCGUGACGCACCCGCCGCGAGGAAAAUCCACAGGCACCUUCCCUCGUCAUGCCCCUCGCGAUUCUUCGCCGUCACACCCGAAACUAGGGUUUCCGCCCCUUCCUCCUUCGUCGCAACGCACCCGCCGAAGAGGAUAACCCACAGGCGCCUUCCUCCUUCGUCGUGGAACAACUGGGGUUUCUGAUCGGCAAGUUGAAGCUAGGGUUUUUCCGCACCUCACGUCCCUUCAUUUGUUCUCCUCGACGAUACACUACAAUAGAUGGUUAUUUAUGCCUUUUGUAAUGUACAAUACCAAAAAAUAAAUAGUUGAAAAAACAUGAACAAACUGCAAACUCAAAUACUUGAUGAGCUUGGCAUACAGAGGUUUGUCCUUGUGUAUAAGCAUCGUGCACGGAGAAAGAACCCAAGCAACAUAGUAGUGUAGAUAUUUCCACUGCUUUGGAAUGACUAACUAGUUUAGCUUUACAAUGCAACAUAGACCGACAAAUUGCUCAUGCCUUGGGAGUUCAACAAUUAGUUUACCCUUAGGCAAUUCUCAUUAAACCAACUAGUUUAGCUUUGCAAUCCCUAUCCCAAAUCUUAAACGAACAGAAUAACAGAAAUAUAAUAAUAAAAAUAACAAAAUAGUUGAAAAACGAGAGCGCUGUGUUUAACUAAGAGGACAUCUUUAGGGGCUUAUCUAGUUUUUUAGGGAUUAUUUAUUUCUUCUUAUUCAAUUUAGUCGUUUUCUCUAUUAAAUUAUUUGCAAUUUUGACUUUAUAAAAAAUAAUUUAUAUUUUUUAUUUAUUUAUCUACUUAUAUAUUGUCAAAUGUAAUGCGAGGAGUUUCAGAAAUGGAAGAAAAUACAGUUGAUGAUCAAGAAUUCAUUCCCCAAGUUGCAGAUGAUAGAAAGCCAAAAAUUGGAAUGGAAUUCUCAUCAUUAGAGGAGGCAUAUUCGUUCUAUAAUCAAUAUGCACGAGAAGCUGGAUUAGUUCAAGGAUAAACACAAGCAAGAAAAAUAAGAUAACAAAUGAAGUGACGUGAAAAUAAAUUGUUUACUUUAAAGAGGGACAUAUAGAUCUAAUGCGGUGGAGUAAACAUGCAAAAGUUGAUCAUGUAUCAAGGGAAAGAGCACAUGACGCAGUUAGAACGGAUUGUAAGUCGAAUAUUGCAUUUGUCAAGAAACAAACCAGACCUAAUUAGGUUGCAGUAACUUCAUAAAAACUCAUAAUCAUCCACUCUCGACUCCAUCAAAGGUGCAUUUGCUACGCUCACAUCGUAAUGUUUCAGCAAAGAAAACAUUGACAAAAUAGUUUUCAGAGGCCAAUGUACCAACUUGUCAACAAAUGCGAAUAUUGGAGAUAGAGUAUGGAGGGUCUGAGGGAGUCGGUUGCACAGAAAGAGAUAUUAGAAAUUUUGAGAAAAAUUUAAGAGAUGAAUAAAAGUGUAUUGAUGUCGAAACACUGAUAGAGUUUUUUACAUCUGAGCAAGAGAAAAAUUCAGCUUUUAUUAUGAGACUGAUUCAGAUAACAGAAUUAGUAUGUGUUUUUGGGUUGAUCAUGUAUCAAGGAGGACAUACAGUGUAUUUGGUGAUGUAGUUGUAUUUGAUACAACAUAUAACACCAACAAAUAUGGCUUGAUUUUGGCACCAUUGGUAGGGGUUAAUCAUCAUCAUCAGACAAUUCUUUUUAGUUGCGGGUUUCUUAGUGAUAAGAAACCUGAGUCUUUUGUUUGGUUGCUUACAAAGUUCUCAGAAGUCAUGCCUAAAGGAGCACCAAACAUUAUCAUCACUGAUCAGGAUCCUACUAUGACAAAAGCAAUUGCACAAGUUUUCCCUCAAACAGUACAUCGAUAUUGUUUGUGGCACAUAUUGAAUAAAUUCCCAGAUAAAUUGGACCCUUUGACUUUUUGAAACCACUAUCACAGCUUAAAGAAUGUUAUUGUAAAUUCUACAAGACUUGAUGAUUUUGAGAAGUCAUGGGAAGAGACUAUCAAGGAUGCUAACUUAGAGAAAAAUGAUUGGUUGUCCUUGAUGUAUGAAUUGUGACACAGAUGGGUGCCGACAUAUUUUAGUCAUGUAUUUUCUGUAGGAAUAUUAAGUAGGCAAAGAUCUGAAGGCUCACAUGCAUUUUUCAAGAAAUAUGUCUCAAAUAAAAACUCAUUAAUGGAUUUUAUAGCACGUUUUAAUCGAGCAUUGAGACAUCAAAGACACAAUGAGUUAGUUGCGAAUUAUAUUGAUAUGAAUGAACAACCCAGGGUUAAUACAACCUGGCCAAUGGAAACUCAAAUGAUUAAGUUGUACACAAAUAAGAAAUGGCUGGAGUUUCAAAGUGAAAUGACCGAGAGUCAUAGUUAUUAUAUGCAACAGACAUUUACAGGAGUUUCCUCAGCAGUUUACCACGUGAUGAAAUUUCAAAGUUCUUCUUUCUCAAAAUCAAGAGUGCUCACCCAUGACAAACAGAGAGAUUGCAUAUCGUGUAGCUGCUCAAAAUUUGAGUUUGAGGGCAUUCCAUGUAGACAUAUGUUAACUUUUUUUUAUAUCAACCAAGUGUUUCAUUUGCCUGAUACGUAUAUACUCAAACGAUGGACACGAAAUGCAAAAGUUGGAGUAAUAUAUGCUUUAGGGGAGAAAAAUGUCAUUGAUGAUCCAGAUUCAGAAAGGUAUUUGAUGUCGAGGCAUUCGAGGUUGUCCUAUAAAGCUUCCGUGUUAGUUGACGAUGCAUCUUUGAGUAAUGAAAGGACAACCUUCUUGGAUGAACAAUUCGAUUGUAUCUACAAUAAAAUUCAAGAGAUGUCCAUUAGUACAACAUGCAGUGAUAGAAGUCGAAGAAAAAAAAUCCAUUGAUGAGAGCCUUGGUAUAUUGAUCCUUCUGUAGUAAGAACUAAGGGAUGUGGGAAGAGAUUAAAAUCAUCAAAGGAGAAAUCUACAUCAAAUUCUAGGCUUUGUCGUGGAUGCAGACAACGAGGAGUAUCACAUGACAAGCGUAACUAUCCCAAUUUGCAACAAGGAUCAAUUGAAGAUAAUAAUCAUAUCAGUCUUGACGACACAUAUGAACUUGAUUUGGGAUCUAUUACGGGUUCUAGUAACAUGCGCUAGGAUGUAAUUAUCUAUGAAUGCAAACUUUUUCAGGCUCUCUUUUGGAAGAUUGCAGCUACC